CGAGGGGCAGCAGCUUUAUAGCAAUAUAGAGGCUGGCGACCGGCAAACGGGUGCGGAACACGUACACAACCUUCCUUUAAGAGGGGGAUAGCCCAUAGAAAUGUGGAUUAAUACCCCGUAAUAUUAUUGAAGUGGCAUCACUUUAUAAUUAUAGUUACGACGCUUGAAGAUGGGUGUGCGGCUGAUUAGGUAGUUGGCGGGGUAAAGGCCCACCAAGCCUUCGAUCAGUAGCUGAUGUGAGAGCAUGAUCAGCCACACGGGCACUGAGACACGGGCCCGACUCCUACGGGAGGCAGCAGUAAGGAAUAUUGGUCAAUGGACGCAAGUCUGAACCAGCCAUGCCGCGUGAAGGAUGAAGGUCCUCUGGAUUGUAAACUUCUUUUAUAGGGGGCGAAAAAAGGGAAUUCUUUCUCACUUGACAGUACCCUAUGAAUAAGCACCGGCUAACUCCGUGCCAGCAGCCGCGGUAAUACGGAGGGUGCAAGCGUUAUCCGGAUUCACUGGGUUUAAAGGGUGCGUAGGCGGGUUUAUAAGUCAGUGGUGAAAUCCUGGAGCUUAACUCCAGAACUGCCAUUGAUACUAUGGAUCUUGAAUAUGGUGGAGGUAAGCGGAAUAUGUCAUGUAGCGGUGAAAUGCAUAGAUAUGACAUAGAACACCUAUUGCGAAGGCAGCUUACUACGCCUAUAUUGACGCUGAGGCACGAAAGCGUGGGGAUCAAACAGGAUUAGAUACCCUGGUAGUCCACGCCCUGAACGAUGAUUACUCGACGUAUGCGAUACACAGUAUGCGUCU
rnacentral:rRNA from 1 species